UGCGCCUUUGAUGGUUUAGAGCCUCGGUCUUGUGCAACCGCACCCAUACCGAAUUAACCCUAAGUCUAUCCCCAACGCGCUACAGCAUACGGAGAACCCUACUCUCUAGCUCUGGACGCAGGUACAACCAUGUGGAGUUGAUCUCCCUAUCUCGGCCGGCCAUUGAGCAGUUGUGAGCCAUUGUUAUUAACUGAGAAGCUACUAUUGCAAUCAGGGGACGAGGUGUUUAGCUGUUUGCAUGCCAAAUACGAGCUUACUGACAUCCUAGGCUCAAAAUUCAUACCCCUCAUCCGAUUCUUUUACUUUACAUGCCGAAUCACAUGCUCAAAGAAAUCCUCAAAUGCGAAGACUUGGAACGUGAAGGUAUGGCCGAGCCUAUCAGGGUGGUAAAUUUGGAGACAUCCCACAGUGGAUUUCUUUGAGCUUGUGGUUCGACAUGUAUGGGAAUCUCAUCUUGGAUGAGGGGAUAAAUUUUGAGCCUAAAGGGGAUGAAUUUUGAGCCUAGGCGGGCAGUUCGCAUCAAAUGUAUUUCUCAAAUCCAUAUUUGUCAUUGACACCUUCACCUACGAGGAGCGCAAUGGGUGGUCCAACGUCUUUAGCAUCUGUCCAAAUUUAUGGAGGAUGAUAGGCGCGUGCUUCAUUUGCGCUAGUGGUUUAAAAAAUGGAUCGGUGUAUCGGAUUGGUUGGAUUAAGCUUAAAUAAAAUCCAAAACAAUUAUUACAAUUCAUUAUAAAUGUUUUUUUUUUAGAAUCCAAUAAGAAA